UGCGGGGGGGGCAAGCGUUGUUCGGAAUUACUGGGCGUAAAGGGCUCGUAGGCGGCCAACUAAGUCAGACGUGAAAUCCCUCGGCUUAACCGGGGAACUGCGUCUGAUACUGGAUGGCUUGAGGUUGGGAGAGGGAUGCGGAAUUCCAGGUGUAGCGGUGAAAUGCGUAGAUAUCUGGAGGAACACCGGUGGCGAAGGCGGCAUCCUGGACCAAUUCUGACGCUGAGGAGCGAAAGCCAGGGGAGCAAACGGG
rnacentral:rRNA from 1 species